UUUCAGAUGUUGUACAACUACAGGACUUUCAAUCUCAGUCAAGUUGUGGCGUCAGUUGCACGAAUGGUAACUGUAAUUCAAACUGGUCACUGGAAAAAGUGCCGCUGUGUGGGAAUCAAUUGUAGUUUCUCCGGAAAAGAUGUUACAGCCAGUGUAUGAAGACUGAACUUUUGGUACGGUCACAGGUGCUCUUGCAAAGACUGAUGGCUUGGCAGCAUAAACUGUUCUUUGGUUAUAUGGGUAAUGUCUUUAAACAGAAGCAUGCUGUUGUGGAGUGAAAGUGCACAAACCAUUGAUAACCCUUUGAAGAAUCAGUACCAGGUGUGGCAAGAAGUUUGAAAUCAAAGUCACAAGAAGUUGUUUGAUGAUGGAAGUAUCUGUGAUCAUUUAGUAUUUCCAGUGGUUCAGAGGAACAGAUUACACUCAGUUAAAACUAAAUGUGAUAUUUAUCUAUUUGUGAAUGAACGAGGACUUAAUGAGGAUAAAAUGUUAAGAAGACAAACCUGAUGCGGCAACAAUUUUGUGACAGUAUCAGUGUAAUAUUUAAACAUGUACAACUGUUUUUCAUUAUAAAUGCAGUAAAAGGUUAUACAAUGUUAAAACUGCUUUACACUUUUUAUGCGAGGGAAUAUGUUGUAUAUGGUCACUAUAGAUGUUUUUCCAUUUGAUGAAAUAAUAUUGUGGGUGAACCGGUGAAGAAUAUAUUGACCAAAUCUGUCAUGUUGACCAUAAUGUUCCGUGCAACCUUUAUUGUACAAAAUGUAGAUUUGUUAUAGCACCAAAUAAUAGUGAGAUUGGAAGGCCAGUGUGCAAACCACUGAGCUAUCCGCCCACCACCAUUAGAUAUAUUAAGGCAAAAAUCGUCAUCUCGGCGCAAAAACUGUAUGCAUGUUUGUGCUUCUUUACUUCAAUGAGCCCACAUUUGGCGCUGAGGUGACAUUAUAAUUAAAAAAAAAACCCUAAUACCUUCUCAUCGGUAACACUACUUAUUUACGUUGCUUACAGUUAAGCAUGAUAAAAAAUAUGGAAUAAAAAUCUUGAUAAAAUU